GACGAACGCUGGCGGCGUGCUUAACACAUGCAAGUCGAACGGAAAGGCCCUGCUUUUGUGGGGUGCUCGAGUGGCGAACGGGUGAGUAACACGUGAGUAACCUGCCCUUGACUUUGGGAUAACUUCAGGAAACUGGGGCUAAUACCGGAUAGGAGCUCCUGCUGCAUGGUGGGGGUUGGAAAGUUUCGGCGGUUGGGGAUGGACUCGCGGCUUAUCAGCUUGUUGGUGGGGUAGUGGCUUACCAAGGCUUUGACGGGUAGCCGGCCUGAGAGGGUGACCGGCCACAUUGGGACUGAGAUACGGCCCAGACUCCUACGGGAGGCAGCAGUGGGGAAUACUGCACAAUGGGCGGAAGCCUGAUGCAGCAACGCCGCGUGCGGGAUGACGGCCUUCGGGUUGUAAACCGCUUUCGCCUGUGACGAAGCGUGAGUGACGGUAAUGGGUAAAGAAGCACCGGCUAACUACGUGCCAGCAGCCGCGGUGAUACGUAGGGUGCGAGCGUUGUCCGGAUUUAUUGGGCGUAAAGGGCUCGUAGGUGGUUGAUCGCGUCGGAAGUGUAAUCUUGGGGCUUAACCCUGAGCGUGCUUUCGAUACGGGUUGACUUGAGGAAGGUAGGGGAGAAUGGAAUUCCUGGUGGAGCGGUGGAAUGCGCAGAUAUCAGGAGGAACACCAGUGGCGAAGGCGGUUCUCUGGGCCCUUCCUGACGCUGAGGAGCGAAAGCGUGGGGAGCGAACAGGCUUAGAUACCCUGGUAGUCCACGCUGUAAACGGUGGGUACUAGGUGUGGGGUCCAUUCCACGGGUUCCGUGCCGUAGCUAACGCUUUAAGUACCCCGCCUGGGGAGUACGGCCGCAAGGCUAAAACUCAAAGGAAUUGACGGGGCCCCGCACAAGCGGCGGAGCAUGCGGAUUAAUUCGAUGCAACGCGUAGAACCUUACCUGGGUUUGACAUGGAUCGGGAGCGCUCAGAGAUGGGUGUGCCUCUUUUGGGGUCGGUUCACAGGUGGUGCAUGGCUGUCGUCAGCUCGUGUCGUGAGAUGUUGGGUUAAGUCCCGCAACGAGCGCAACCCUUGUUCACUGUCGCCAGCACGUUAUGGUGGGGACUCAGUGGAGACCGCCGGGGUCAACUCGGAGGAAGGUGGGGAUGACGUCAAGUCAUCAUGCCCCUUAUGUCCAGGGCUUCACGCAUGCUACAAUGGCUGGUACAGAGAGUGGCGAGCCUGUGAGGGUGAGCGAAUCUCGGAAAGCCGGUCUCAGUUCGGAUUGGGGUCUGCAACUCGACCUCAUGAAGUCGGAGUCGCUAGUAAUCGCAGAUCAGCAACGCUGCGGUGAAUACGUUCCCGGG
rnacentral:rRNA from 1 species